rnacentral:rRNA from 1 species
GACGAACGCUGGCGGCGUGCCUAAUACAUGCAAGUUGAGCGCUAAGGGUUGGUACUUGUGCCGACUGGGUGAGCAGCGAACGGGUGAGUAACGCGUGGGACAUCUGCCUUUGAGCGGGGGACCACCUUUGGAAACGGAUGCUAAUCCCGCAUAAGAACUUUAAACACAAGUUUGAUGUUUGAAAGAUGCCAUUUCGGCAGUUAGGGAUGAACCCGCGGCUUGUUAGCUGGUUGGUGGGGUAGUGGCUUACCAAGGCGUUGACGGGUAGCCGGCCUGAGAGGGUGACCGGCCACAUUGGGACUGAGAUACGGCCCAGACUCCUACGGGAGGCAGCAGUGGGGAAUAUUGCACAAUGGGCGGAAGCCUGAUGCAGCAACGCCGCGUGCGGGAUGACGGCCUUCGGGUUGUAAACCGCUUUCGCCUGUGACGAAGCGUGAGUGACGGUAAUGGGUAAAGAAGCACCGGCUAACUACGUG